rnacentral:rRNA from 1 species
GCAUAUCAAUAAGCGGAGGAAAAGAAACCAACAGGGAUUGCCUCAGUAACGGCGAGUGAAGCGGCAAUAGCUCAAAUUUGAAAGCUGGCGCAAGCCCGCGUUGUAAUUUGUAGAGGAUGCUUCGGGUGUGGUGCCGGUCUAAGUUCCUUGGAACAGGACGUCAUAGAGGGUGAGAAUCCCGUAUAUGGCUGGUUGCCUACGCCUGUGUGAAGCUCCUUCGACGAGUCGAGUUGUUUGGGAAUGCAGCUCAAAAUGGGUGGUGUACUCCAUCUAAAGCUAAAUAUUGGCCAAAGACCGAUAGCGCACAAGUAGAGUGAUCGAAAGAUGAAAAGCACUUUGGAAAGAGAGUUAAACAGUACGUGAAAUUGUUGAAAGGGAAGCGCUUGCAAUCAGACUUGCGCGACGCUGAUCAGCUUGGGUUCUCCCUUGCGCACUCGGCGCCGUUCAGGCCAGCAUCAGUUUUAGCGGUUGGAUAAAGGCCUAGGGAAUGUGAGUGGCUUCGGCCACUGUUAUAGCCCUGGGCGCAAUGCAGCCUGCUGGGACUGAGGACCGCGCUUCGGCUAGGAUGCUGGCGUAAUGGUUGUAAGCGACCCGUCUUGAAACACGGACCAAGGAGUUGAAGAAUAGUGCGAGUGUUUGGGUGUUAAACCCAUGCGCGUAAUGAAAGUGAACGGAGGUGAGAGUCCUUAAGGAUGCAUCAUCGACCGAUCCUGAUGUCUUCGGAUGGAUUUGAGUAAGAGCACUACUCUUCUGACCCGAAAGAUGGUGAACUAUGCCUGAAUAGGGUGAAGCCAGAGGAAACUCUGGUGGAGGCUCGCAGAGGUUCUGACGUGCAAAUCGAUCUUCAAAUUUGGGUAUAGGGGCGAAAGACUAAUCGAACCAUCUAGUAGCUGGUUCACGCC